rnacentral:rRNA from 1 species
GAAUUCGCCCUUAGAGUUUGAUCCUGGCUCAGGACGAACGCUGGCGGCACGCUUAACACAUGCAAGUCGAACGAGAGAAGAGAAGCUUGCUUUUCUGAUCUAGUGGCGGACGGGUGAGUAACACGUGAGCGAUCUGCCUUUCAGAGGGGGAUACCGAUUGGAAACGAUCGUUAAUACCGCAUAAUAUAAUUGAACCGCAUGAUUUGAUUAUCAAAGAUUUAUCGCUGAAAGAUGAGCUCGCGUCUGAUUAGCUAGUUGGUAAGGUAACGGCUUACCAAGGCGACGAUCAGUAGCCGGACUGAGAGGUUGAUCGGCCACAUUGGGACUGAGACACGGCCCAGACUCCUACGGGAGGCAGCAGUGGGGAAUAUUGCACAAUGGAGGAAACUCUGAUGCAGCGAUGCCGCGUGAGGGAAGAAGGUUUUAGGAUUGUAAACCUCUGUCUUCAGGGACGAAAAAAGACGGUACCUGAGGAGGAAGCUCCGGCUAACUACGUGCCAGCAGCCGCGGUAAUACGUAGGGAGCGAGCGUUGUCCGGAAUUACUGGGUGUAAAGGGAGCGUAGGCGGGAUCGCAAGUCAGAUGUGAAAACUAUGGGCUUAACCCAUAAACUGCAUUUGAAACUGUGGUUCUUGAGUGAAGUAGAGGUAAGCGGAAUUCCUAGUGUAGCGGUGAAAUGCGUAGAUAUUAGGAGGAACAUCAGUGGCGAAGGCGGCUUACUGGGCUUUAACUGACGCUGAGGCUCGAAAGCGUGGGGAGCAAACAGGAUUAGAUACCCUGGUAGUCCACGCCGUAAACGAUGAUUACUAGGGGUGGGGGGACUGACCCCCUCCCUGGCCGGCAGCAAACGCCAUAAAGUAAUCCACCUGGGGGAGUACGACCGCCAGGGUUGAAACUCAAAGGAAUUGAUGGGGGCCCGCACAAGCAGUGGAGUAUGAGGAUUAAUUUGAAGCUACGCGAAGAACCUUACCAGGUCUUGACAUCGUAUGCAUAGCUCAGAGAGGAGUGAAAUCUCUUCGGAGACAUAUAGACAGGUGGUGCAUGGUUGUCGUCAGCUCGUGUCGUGAGAUGUUGGGUUAAGUCCCGCAACGAGCGCAACCCCCGCCGCGUGUUGCCAUCGGGUGAUGCCGGGAACCCACGCGGGACCGCCGCCGUCAAGGCGGAGGAGGGCGGGGACGACGUCAAGUCAUCAUGCCCCUUAUGCCCUGGGCUGCACACGUGCUACAAUGGCCGGUACAGAGGGAUGCCACCCCGCGAGGGGGAGCGGAUCCCGGAAAGCCGGCCCCAGUUCGGAUUGGGGGCUGCAACCCGCCCCCAUGAAGUCGGAGUUGCUAGUAAUCGCGGAUCAGCAUGCCGCGGUGAAUGCGUUCCCGGGCCUUGUACACACCGCCCGUCA